GUUUGGCAGUGUUAUUCACUCCAAGAUAUCUAGCCUAGAAGUGCUUCUCCAGGCCUCCCAAUGAUUUGAUCGUGGUCUUCCUGCCUGCCCUGUGUUGUAAGGUGGGGUUCCCUAUUUCAUAAUCAAGGAGAAGGCCAGGCUGGAGCGUCUGGUCCAUGGGAAGACCUGUACACACUGUGGCCUUCACGCAAGUCAACUCAGAAGACAAGGGCACACUGGCUAAACUGGUGGAAGUCAUCAGGAUCAAUUACAAUGACAGAUAUGUCCUUCCAGCAUAUAAAUAUCAGAAGAUGUUAUAGGGAGAGAUGGCCAUAAAUUCAAGGAAUGAGAAAAUAGGAAUUGUGC
ensembl:lncRNA